UUUUCUCACAACCCUGUGAAAUGUAGCCUCAUAUUGAGAGUUUCUUCUGUGAAGAACUUGCCUAGAGCCAGCCACUGCAGCAGAGCUGUGGCCACCAGAAGAAGGACCCGAGCAGCCUCCUGCUGAUAUAACCUCAAUUUCCCACCAAGCCUGAGCAUUUCUGACAGCUGAAAGCAUUUACCAGCGGACUGCUGAGCACAUCAAGAUGGAUACAGUUCUCUUGCUGUUUGGACUGGGAGGGAAUUAACAUCUCCCCUGGAGGAAUCCAAUUGAGGCAGCUCAUCAGAGACUCACCAACCUGAGGCUGAGCAUCAGCAGUUAUUGGUACCUCUGGCACAGGCAGCUUUGGAUGAACACUGGAUCCCUGAAACUCCUGGGAGAGUCCUGCAUUGCCUGGGCUAGGAGUACAGUCUUCUCCUGAUGCUGACCAGGUGCACUGGAGUGAUGAGCUGCCAGAGGGUGGGGCACAGGACACCAGGGAUCAGCAAAGCCUUUUCUGCACCUCUCAUGCCACUGAAGAGCCAUCACUCCGAUCAGAAACUGAAAUCCUGCUUUGUGCUCCUCCAGUGUGGAAAUCUGUCAGCUCCUGUGACCCCUAUUACUGUAAUACCCGAGAACAUCACCUCUGGUCGUGCACUGAGCCUCGCAGUGUCUGAAGAAAGUUAGACUUGCAUUAAUAUUAUUUUCCUCUGUUCUGUAUGGAGAACUGAGGCACAGCCAGGUCAAGUGAUUCACCCAAAGGUGCUCUUUGAAAAGGAGCCCUGAUGCUGUACACACGUGCCCAGUCUUUGGCUGGUAUUUAAAACUGAGCCUUUUGAUUGCAGAAACGGCUUCAAGCAAGCCCCAAACACCCAACAGCAAGCCAGGUGACAGGGCACAAACCACAACCUUUGGCUCAAAAGCCAGCUGAGAGACUGAAGUGAGGAGGGAUUUAGAGUUUCAUCCCUGCUAGGCUGAGGGAGAUCGUGUGAGAGCUGCAGACUGGGGAAGGCAUGGAAAAUCCUGACCUGAACUUGGGGAAGAAAACAGCCUCACUUUCCUCAGAAGAAUCCACAGAGUAGAUCUUGCCACAGCAGAAGGAACAUGUGUCAUGGGAACAGCAGAGGCAAAAUGUGUCAUGGGAAAAAUCUUGACGGAUUCAGCCCAGGACGCGAAUAUGCAAAUGGAGACCGAAUUAAAUGCAAUCGAGCAAGAUAACACAUAUCCCAGCAAUGGAGAAAACUCACAGCACACUCGCAAAAAAGAUGGAGUUUAAAUCCAAGGAGGGGGGUCUGAGGAUGUAUAAGCAGUCCCCAGUGACUAAAUUUUAGCAGCAGUAUGAAAAUUUCCCCAAAAAAGGAGUCAGGAAAGUGUUGCAGGAAUCAAACAAGGAGUAACUGAAGUGCAAGGGCCCAUUACUGAGCUAAGUGGAAGAGGUGAAGAGGUGCCCCCAACACAGCAACAAAGCACAGAUACUAAUUAAUAUUAUAGUUUUUCUGCUAUUAAAAAGUCAUCCUGUGGCUCACUUCUGGAAUAAUGUAUAUUUUUUCUCUUCCUGGCCUGCUCUUCUGAAAGAGGGAUUUUCAAGAGUUGCUGGUUUCCAUCUCCAAAGUAGCUCAAUUUAGUUUCAGGGGAAAUGAAACUCUCAACUAGCUUCAUUUGUAAAAUCUUUGAAGAUGUGGGAAUGUCCUCUGGCUGUAAGGAGAGGGAGUGUGAUUCAGAGCCUGGUACAGAUAUAUAAAGGGGUUCAAUAUUUAAUUAAACAUAAUCUUCCUUGUGGCAUGAGUGACUGAGCUCUUUCAGGAAUAAAAGUCCUUGGGUUUUUAUUACAUUAUUCUGCAAUAUGUGACAACAGAAAACCUUUUGCAGGACUAUGCUGGCCCAGCACCUGCCUUCCCUGUAGCAGCACUUGCUGCCCUGCUGCUGCCAAGAGAACAUUUUUGGAGGUAAUAACUUUCUACUUUUACAUGAAAAAUCCAUCUCUCUGGGAUGUCAGAUGGCUCUGACACAUCUCCCUGACGCCUGGAAACUGUGGUUGCAGUCCCCACACCACUGGAGUGAGGAACCCACGGUGCUGCUCAGCACCACAGCCUGCCCUUAGCACCAAACACACAUUUUUCAGCUUAAAAAAAAACAGUAUAGAAAGGAGAAAAAAAUUUCAAGUUUUUGGGUGGUUAUUCUCUCCAGAGAGCAGGUGCCCUGAUCCUGCACCCACGGCUGAGCUCAGCAUGAGCAAAGGAGUUGUGCUGGGAGCGUGUGCGGGCAGAGGCUCUGAGGAUCUGGCUUUGCAAAGGGUCAAGACAAUCUCACUUAGGGCACCAGUCUGUUAGUUUUGUUCUCGUUUUUUUCUUUUUUUUUAAUAUAAAAGGAAAAGGACAGCAUUAGCUCUUUUCUGGAAGUGAUAUUCUGCUCUGUGCGAGGAAUGAGAGGAAGCUAGUUUAAAGGGAAAGGGUGCAAUGCAUCAGGCACAAGCCUAAGUAAUGCCAAGGUCUGCAGCUGGCUGGCCCACUUUUGUUUUUAAAUAUGUAAAAUGACUUCUAGAAGCAUGGAGUUUUAUUAUUUCAUCAAUUUCUGCCUUCCAUUGUUAACCAUUCAUGGCUGCCACCUACUCAACAAAAAUGAUGAAAGGAAAUAAUCCUUUUAGUAGAGAAAAGGUAAUUACUAAGCAGGAUGUAUACUGCUCCGAAAAGGUUUUCUGAUGAUAAAUCCAGUCCCCACAAGCCCCUGAUUCAGUGGGAUGUGCCCGUUCAGGUAUCCUUUGCAUCCUGACACAGUGGCCUUGGCUGGCACGUUCCCAUUCCUGGGAAGUGCCCUGCUGAGAACGGCGAGGGUUUUCAAGGAGAGGCAGCCAGGGCUGCAGACAGAGCACAGCAGUGCCCCAGUGAAUCUGGCCAGGGAUGUGAAGCACUCCUGGGUUCCCUGGGUUCCAGCAGGAGCCCUUGUGCUGUGCUGCCCAGGCGCUCAGAGCCGUCUACCAGCUCCACCCUUCCUCCCGCCUGCAAUUAGCACUUGCGGCGCUGCAAAGGGAGAUGAGAUUCUCUCGCUGUCCUCCCUCAGAGCUCGCUCGCACCUUCCCCACCGGGUGGGAACAUGUGCUGCGGGUUAGGAAACAUUCUCAUCGUGGAAUCGCAUUUGCAGCAAUCCUACCCCCCGCCGCCUGCUCGCUUCUGGCUAUCAGGCUCUGCUGCAGCUCGUGGUGGUGGUGAUGGACACGUGAACAGCAGAGCUCAGCACAGCUCCUGGUUCAGCAGAGCCUCAGAUCUCCAGGAUUCUCUUCAUUCCUCCUGGAAAUGUGUGAGCACAAACUGGGCCCAGUUUGUUCCACCCAGGGUAACUGGAGCUGGUUAUCCAGACUGAAGGUUAAGAAGACUGAAUAUGGUGGGUUUGUCCCAAAAUGAGCUCUAUUUACUUACCUGGAGGUGGGAUGACAUGGAAAUCAGCAAUGACAGCUGUAUUUCACAUCUGCAGUUCAGCUCUACCAUCACUGCCAGCAGUUGUGGUGUUACCAGGGAGCAGCAGCUUCCAUCUCAGGUAAAAACCUUCCAUACCCUGGAGACUCCUUGCCCAUAUUAAAGGUCUUGUUUACAGACAGGGAAACUGAGUCAAAGAGCAUUGAUCCAAGUCCUCAGAAAUCAGUGGCAGACCAUCCAGAGCCCCACUUCUCCAAUAACUUCUCCAGCUAUUACAAGCAGGAAGAAAGGGCAGGAGUGCUUUUAGGGGCAUAAUUGAAAUCAGAUGAAUCACUGGAAAUCUUCCUGUCCAUUCAGUGGGCUUCACAUGAUGAUUUCUAAUAGUCAAGACUCAAAUUAUUUAGGGUGCACUGCUGGGAGGAGGGAAUGAGGCAUGUAACUUGGGAAGCUCAGUCAUGGAGAGUCCUUUUGGAUGUGAAGCUGUAAAGCUUUAUAUGUACCUGGAGCAAAAAGUCUUUUUAUUUCCCUGUCAGCAUCUGCCUGUGAAAAGGAAAAAGAAAAGGCAGCCCAUUUGUGGAUGCUUUCUUGCUGCAACUCUGAAUUGGAAAUAUCUGUCCUUGAUUAAAGUGGGAAAUGCAAUUGCACAAGUCAUUAAUUAUUACUGAUAAACUGAAGUAGUGAUGGAGCCAAAUAAAAAUCUCCUGCCACUACAAUGGAAUUCUGGAAAAAACCCACAGACCUGGGUGCCUGCAUCCUAUUUUCAUUUCCUUUUUUGGGGGAAAAAAAUACGUGCCUGAACUGCUGGGUGUCCACCAGCACACGAUGGAUGCAGAGAGCUGAACUUUAUCCCCACAGACGGCAAAAAUCAGCAGCUCCCGGUGCCUGCCACACGUGACCAGCCCCAAUUAUGGCUCCUUGCACAUGACAUCAGUAUGCAAUGGAGGAUCUCACUUGUUUUUUUUUUGCCAGAGGCAAAUGAAUACAUUAGGCAGCAGCGAGGCGUGGGGCAGGCGGAUGCGGAACUCUGGGGUGAUUUGGAUUCCGAGCUCGCGUGGGGGUGUGAGCCAACCUCAGAAGUCAUUUUCACUGAUGCUGACACAUAAGGCUUCCCUCAGAGACCUGUCUAUCAAACUGCAACAUGCUAUGCAGAAAAAUUAGAUUACUCAUGCUACAAUAAAGAAGGAGGAGAUGACAAUGAUAGAGGAAAAAAAAGCCCCAAACCAGCUUCAAAAUAUAACAGCUUUUAUUAAAUGAAUAAAAAUCUGGUGAAUGGCAAAGUAUCCUAGAGACUUUUUAAAAUAAUUUUUUUAAAAUUUAUUUUACUUCUUGCAACCCAUUCCAAGGAGAGCUAGUUGGAAAGACCCUAUUAAUUCAGAUGGUGCCUCUGGAAAAAACAGCACUUUAUCAUGAUUGUCACACUACUGUACUUGUGAAAUAUCAUCCUAAAUAGUCAUUAUGAUUUUGCUGCUGGUUUUGCUGCAGUCAGCAGUAGGAUUUCCUUUGGCUUUGGUAAAAGCAGGAUCAGGCCCCCUUGCUCUCUCUCUCUCUAUGAAUUGCAAAUAGGUUGUUCACGUGUCAGCUCAGCAACCAGGCAAAGUUCACCCUGCUCAGUUCAAAGCAGCAAGAUGAAGCUCAGGGCAUUUCCUUCACGGUAUUUGCCGAGUUCCUCAGGUCUACAAAUGUGUUAAAGUGGUUUAAUACAGGAUCUGUAAAACAAACAUUAUGCAGCUAUGUUUGAACCUUUGUCCAAUAAAAUUCAUUUUUUUCAGAAGAAAAUACAAAGUAGUAAAACAUACUUGGUAAAGAAAAGAAAAGGCUAUGGGAAGCUUAGUAAAAUCCUA